rnacentral:rRNA from 1 species
AGUGAACGCUGGCGGUAGGCCUAACACAUGCAGGUCGAACGGCAGCACAGUAAGAGCUUGCUCUUACGGGUGGCGAGUGGCGGACGGGUGAGGAAUACAUCGGAAUCUACUUUUUCGUGGGGGAUAACGUAGGGAAACUUACGCUAAUACCGCAUACGACCUACGGGUGAAAGCAUGGGAUCUUCGGACCUUGCGCGAUUGAAUGAGCCGAUGUCGGAUUAGCUAGUUGGCGGGGUAAAGGCCCACCAAGGCGACGAUCCGUAGCUGGUCUGAGAGGAUGAUCAGCCACACUGGAACUGAGACACGGUCCAGACUCCUACGGGAGGCAGCAGUGGGGAAUAUUGGACAAAGGGCGCAAGCCUGAUCCAGCCAUACUGCGUGGGUGAAGAAGGCCUUCGGGUUGUAAAGCCCUUUUGUUGGGAAAGAAAAGCAGCAGGUUAAUACCCCGCUGUUCUGACGGUACCCAAAGAAUAAGCACCGGCUAACUUCGUG